rnacentral:lncRNA from 1 species
ACAAGUUUUAAAAUAUCAUGAAAUUUUUGCAAGAUCAGUCUUGGAUAUCGUCGUUACCUUUAGAAUAAAAUAAAGACUCCUUCAUCUCUAUUUACACUUUUUGUUAACCUAAAUAUCCUCUGCCACAAAUAACACCAAAGGAGAGCAGAUCUCACAUUAUUCACCCACAAUUGUCUAUGAUAUAAGAAAUCAUAUCGAAGGAACCAAAGAAACAAACAAAGAAUUCAGCCUAGGCUCACAGUGAUGGGGUUUGGUCAAUAACAACGAUAUCCAUGGUUAUAAUAUUGAAAGGAAAUGAUUUUCAAGGAAGGGUAGGUCAGUUGAACGGGUAAACGAUAAACUGAGUACACAUAACAAAAAUUGGUGUCCUUCUCCUCGGGCACAGAUUUAUGAUCGUAGAGAAAUACAAUUAUGAAGAAAAAAAAAUUGUAAUUACAACAAAUCUGAAAACAAAUGUGACAAAAUGAAAUAUUGCCAGGCCUCGAUUAUCUUUUUUCUCCGGGAUAUAUAGAGUCGAUCACCUGACCGAACGCAACCUUGGCCUCGAAUUGACACUGCGUGGAUUCGCAGGUGGAGCAAUGAAUUCUGCAUACAUAUCCAUGAUAAACUUGUCAUCGCAUGUCAGAUAGGCUGGACAUGUAAGGCGUGAAUAGUAAUGAAGAACU